GGCAUGGUAGCUGAGUGGGUACUUAUAGCUAUUUGCUUGGUACCGAAUAUCGAUGGUUCAAAUCCAUCUCGGAGCAA